AAUUAAUAAGGUAGUUGAAAUUCGUAAAAGGGCGAUGGAAAAUAUGAAAACAGACGAUAGUUGCACACCAGACGGUAAAGAGAAAUUUAAACGCCGACGGAAUGAAAUGCUGGAUUUCCACCAGAAAGAACCAGAAACAGAGAAAGAAAUGGAGAAGGAAAAAAUAGAAGUAGAAAAGGAGAAGAUAAGUGUUGAGAAGAGAAAACAAGAAUUGGAGAUGGAGAGGUUCAAACUAAAAAAAAAAAAACGAACGAAGAUGAUUGACCUCCUUGCAUCCUUAAUUAAAAAACAAUAACUUUAGAAAUUUUAG